rnacentral:rRNA from 1 species
CCUACGGGAGGCAGCAGUGGGGAAUAUUGCGCAAUGGGCGAAAGCCUGACGCAGCGACGCCGCGUGAGGGAUGAAGGUCUUCGGAUCGUAAACCUCUGUCAGCAGGGAAGAACGGUCACUGUGCUAAUCAGCAGUGAAUUGACGGUACCUGACUAAGAAGCCCCGGCUAACUACGUGCCAGCAGCCGCGGUAAUACGUAGGGGGCAAGCGUUAUCCGGAUUUACUGGGUGGAAAGGGGGCGUAGACGGUGAGGCAAGUCUGAAGUGAAAGCCCGGGGCUCAACCCCGGGACUGCUUUGGAAACUGUCAUGCUGGAGUGCUGGAGAGGUAAGCGGAAUGCCUAGUGUAGCGGUGAAAUGCGUAGAUAUUAGGAGGAACACCAGUGGUGAAAGCGGCUUACUGGACAGUAACUGACGUUGAGGCUCGAAAGCGUGGGGAGCAAACAGGAUUAGAUACCCCUGUAGUC